UUGUUAAUGAGAGGACGCCGGGGACGGACAAGCAAUGCCCGUCUUGAUUGAUGGUCGCCGUGGUUGUCCCCUAGCAGAAGUCGAAACGCGCGCAUCAAAAGCGACGCCGUUUCCGCGUCACGAACGGGCAUUCAUACUUCCUUUCAUAUCAAACAAACACGCUAAUACCACCAAAGGAAAAGGUGAAGCUUUCAAUAUCUCCUGUUCCUUUCGGUUUUAAUUCGAAUCCGGAUCUUAAUUCAAUGUCGAAAAUGGCUGCUUCGUCAGACUCAUGGAUGAAGGAGUACAAUGAGGCUGUAAAGCUUGCAGAUGAUAUCAAUAGCAUGAUAUCGGAGCGUAGUUCUAUGCCUGGAACUGGGCCGGAGACCCAGCGCCAUGCGUCAGCAAUAAGGAGGAAAAUUACAAUAUUGGGUACAAGGCUUGAUAGCUUACAGAGCCUUUUGUCAAGGCCCACUGGCAAGCCCUUAACAGAGAAAGAGAUGAAUCGUCGCAAGGAUAUGGUUGCAAAUAUGAGGUCGAAAGUGAACCAAAUGGCUUCCGCGUUGAACAUGUCAAACUUUGCCAACAGAGACAGUUUGCUCGGCCCAGAAAUAAAGUCAGCCGAUGCUAUGAGCAGAACAAAUGGUUUGGAUAACUAUGGCGUAGUUGGUCUGCAACGACAGAUAAUGAAAGAACAAGAUGAGGGCCUUGAGAAGUUGGAGCAAACAGUGACAAGCACGAAGCACAUUGCUUUGGCAGUCAAUGAAGAGCUUGACCUUCAUACCCGACUAAUUGAUGACUUGGAUGAACAUGUGGAUGUUACAGACUCUCAUUUGCGGAAUUUCUGAGCUAGCAUAUCCUAUAGGUGGUAUGAGCUUUGCAAUAUACAUCCCCAUGAAUGACUGAAUUGUGAUGAGUAUGUUUGUUUACGCCAUGACUACCUGAUCACUGGAAUAUUGGCCAUUACUUAGUCUUACACUGACCGUGCCCAUCUAAAGGCCCUAGCGAGUGCAGAAGACUCUGGCAGUUCUGAAUAAGCGCACCAAAGGUGGUUGCUCCUGCAUGUCUAUGCUGCUGGCAGUUGUGGGGAUCGUCAUUCUAGUUGUUGCUAUUUAUCUACUUGUCAAAUACUUGUAAUACCACAAAGUAUAAC